rnacentral:rRNA from 1 species
CCUACGGGUGGCAGCAGUGAGGAAUAUUGGUCAAUGGGCGUAAGCCUGAGCCAGCCAAGUAGCGUGAAGGAUGACUGCCCUACGGGUUGUAAAAUUCUUUUAUAAAGGAAUAAAGUGAGGCACGUGUGCCUUAUUGUAUGUACUUUAUGAAUAAGGAUCGGCUAAGUCCGUGCCAGCAGCCGCGGUAAUACGGAGGAUCCGAGCGUUAUCCGGAUUUAUUGGGUUGAAAGGGAGCGUAGAUGGGUUGUUAAGUCAGUUGUGAAAGUUUGCGGCUCAACCGUAAAAUUGCAAUUGAUACUGGCAGUCUUGAGUACAGUUGAGGUAGGCGGAAUUCGUGGUGUAGCGGUGAAAUGCUUAGAUAUCACGAAGAACUCCGAUUGCGAAGGCAGCUUACUAAACUGCCACUGACAUUGAUGCUCGAAAGUGUGGGUAUCAAACAGGAUUAGAUACCCCAGUAGUC